UGUGUUCACUACUGUAAGUCUCUCUGGAUAAGAGCGUCUGCUAAAUGACUAAAA
rfam:Salmo salar isolate Sally breed double haploid chromosome ssa05, whole genome shotgun sequence.